GAUGAACGCUGGCGGCGUGCCUAAUACAUGCAAGUCGAGCGAGCGGACGAGAAGCUUGCUUCUCUGAUGUUAGCGGCGGACGGGUGAGUAACACGUGGAUAACCUACCUAUAAGACUGGGAUAACUUCGGGAAACCGGAGCUAAUACCGGAUAAUAUUUUCAACCGCUUGGUCCAAAAUUGAAAAACGGUUUUGCUGUCACUUAUAGAUGGAUCCGCGCUGCAUUAGCUAGUUGUUAAGGUAACGGCUUACCAAGGCAACGAUGCAUAGCGGACCUGAGAGGGUGAUCGGCCACACGGGAACUGAGACACGGUCGAGACUCCUAGGGGAGGCAGCAGUAGGGAAUCUUACGCGAUGGGCGAAAGCCUGACGGAGCAACGCCGCGUGAGUGAUGAAGGUCUUCGGAUCGUAAAACUCUGUUAUUAGGGAAGAACAUAUGUGUAAGUAACUGUGCACAUCUUGACGGUACCUAAUCAGAAAGCCACGGCUAACUACGUG
rnacentral:rRNA from 1 species